rnacentral:lncRNA from 1 species
UAUUUCUGGAAUUUUUCAUUUAAUAUUUUUGGUUUAUUGUUGACUUAGGGUAACUGAAAGUGCUGAUUAAGAGAGAGGUGCUAUAAUUUUUAUUUCUUUUUGUCACUUCUUUUUUCUUUUACUUUUAUUCCUUCACUUUUUUAUUUUCUUUUUGCUGUGGUUCUGGGUAUUGAACCCAGGGCCUCAUAUAUGCCAGGCAAGGUCUCUACCACUGAUCUACAUCCUCACCUUUUAAAUUUUAUUCUGAGUUAGGGUCUCCUUAAGUUACCCAGUCUGACUUUUCACUUGGGUUCCUCCUGCCUCAGCCUCCCCAGUAGCUGGGGUUACAAGCAUGUGCCCACAUCUGGCUAUCCCAUGGCUUUGAAGACAAUACCACUAAGUCUUGUUCCACCCACCGACUUCUUGCUUGUCUGCUUUGCAAUACUAUCCUUCUUUUUGAGUCCCUUCUUGAUUAUCUUUUCUUUAUAUACUUUCUGGAUGAAUACAUCUAUUUAAUGGUUUCCUGGACCACCUAUAUCCUUGUUAUUUGUGCAUUUAUAUCUUGAUCAGUCUCUUGAAAUGUGAUCUAGCUGAAAAAAUUCCACAAAUUCACAGAACUCAACAUCUUCAAAUCUGGGCAUUCUUUCCCUACAGAUAACCCAUUUUUAUAUUCCUUUAUCUAGCUAGUUUUACCACUGUUUACCCAAUCUGAGGAAUCUGAGAGUUACCCUGUAUUACUCCAUCCUCUCUGGAUUCUUUAUGUCAGUAAUUCUUGUUACUUCUAAAAUAAUUCUCAGAUAAGUCCUCACUCUACUGUAGUAAUUCAGCUCUUACAUGUUCUUAACUGGUCUUUCCUCCAGAGUCAUACUUCUAUGAUCUGUGCUACACAUUAUGACCAAAAUAAAUGUCAUACUAUACAAAUCACAUCAUGCAGUAUACUCUUUAUGUGUACAGUUAAUUCCAAACUUGUUUGCAUGACAUAUGAGGGAUUCAGUAACCUUUGCUUACCUAUUAGAUCUCAUCUCCUUCAUUUUCCACUCGUAUUUCUACAAAAAUCACAAAAAACCCACUGAUAAUUAAAAGCCCACCUCUCCUUCUCUCUGUUAAAUAACUUUUCCAUGUUCAUGAUAGGAAAACAUCUACUCAUCCUUCAAGAGCAUACAUUUAUUCUGUUCCCUCUCUAAAAAUCUUUCUCAAAAACCCAGUAAAAUUGGUCACUUCUUUCUUUGGCAGUCACCUUUUCUUAGAUUUACUUUCAUAAUAAAUGUCUGUGGGAAAUAGCAACAUUCUUGAAAUAAAUUAAAAAUAUCUCAAGGUGGCUGGGAGCAGUGGUGCACACCUAUGCCUAUAAGUCCAGUGGCUCGGGAGAGACAGGAGGAUCGUGAGUUCAGGGCCAGCCUCAGCAAAAGCAAGGCACUAAGCAACUUGGUGAGACCCUGACUUUGAAUAAAAUACAAAGUAGGGCUGGGAAUAUGGCUCAGUAGUCAAGUGUCCCUGAAUUAAAUCCCCAGCACCCACCCAAAAAUCUUCAGGUGACCUUUUUGAGUGGUGACAUACAUUCUGAUAUGCUUUAAAAAAUUGAUUUUGUUACUUUUCAUACUAUAAACAUAGGAAGUCUAUUGUGGGAUACAAAUAUGGGAAAUCAACUAUUGCAGCUUAGAGAUGAAUGCUAUUGUAGGAAUAUACUUUCUAUCAUUAAAUGAAGCAUUUGAACAUGGCAAAAAAUUGUGUUUAGAUUUUAAACGUAAUGAAGAAUAUGAUAAUAUCCUACUAAUUCUAAUUUAUGACUUUUUGUAAUAUACUAU